rnacentral:rRNA from 1 species
GAUGAACGCUGGCGGCGUGCCUAAUACAUGCAAGUCGAACGAAACUUCUUUAUCACCGAGUGCUUGCACUCACCGAUAAAGAGUUAAGUGGCGAACGGGUGAGUAACACGUGGGCAACCUGCCCAAAAGAGGGGGAUAACACUUGGAAACAGGUGCUAAUACCGCAUAACCAUAGUUACCGCAUGGUAACUAUGUAAAAGGUGGCUAUACUACCGCUUUUGGAUGGGCCCGCGGCGCAUUAGCUAGUUGGUAGGGUAAAGGCUUACCAAGGCAAUGAUGCGUAGCCGAAUUGAGAGGUUGAUCGGCCACAUUGGGACUGAGACACGGCCCAAACUCCUACGGGAGGCAGCAGUAGGGAAUCUUCCACAAUGGGCGAAAGCCUGAUGGAGCACGCCGCGUGGGUGAAGAAGGUCUUCGGAUCGUAAAACCCUGUUGUUAGAGAAGAAAGUGCGUGAGAGUAACUGUUCACGCUUCGACGGUAUCUAACCAGAAAGCCACGGCUAACUACGUG